UAAAGAUUAGCGAUCCGUUGGAUAGGGACCGAGUUAUAGACAAAAAUUGGUGCAAAAAUGAGCCUUGGAGAUUGGUAAAUUUAUAGAUUUUUUUGAUUUUUUUAAUUUUUUUUUACGAUUUUUUUAAUUUAAAGCAUUAUUUGAGUGAAAAGAAACUUAUUGUAACAAUUUCGCAUGAAAAUAAAACAAUUUUUGAAAUUUUGCUAAUUUGCUCAAAAAAAUGGCAAGGGGUACCCCUUAUGAAAUUUUCGAGUUGAAAAUAUUUUUUUUAUUUUUUUGUUAUUUUUUAUUCUUUUCUUCUUUUAAAACAUUAUUUGAGUGAAAAGAAACUUAUUGCAACUAAUUCGCAUUAAAAUAUAUCAAUUUUUUACAUUUUGCUAAAUUACUCAAAAAAUGGUAUGGAACUUGGUUCCUCGAAUAACUUCUGGCACAGACAUCUGAGGGCAUGGCCGUCCAAGAAGAAAAUGUAGCCAUUGAUGCCAUCUAUCGACCACAGGCAAAGAUUGGCGAUCCGUUGGAUACCGACCGAGUUAUAGACAAAACUUGGUGCAAAAAUGCUGAAAAUUUUACAUUUUCUCAAACAGGGUAUGGAACUUGGUUCCUCGAAUAACUUCUGGCACAGACAUGUGAGGGCAUGGCCGUCCAAGAAGAAAAUGUAGCCAUUGAUGCCAUCUAUCGACCACAAGCAAAGAUUGGCGAUCCGUUGGAUACCGACCGAGUUAUAGACAAAACUUGGUGCAAAAAUGAGGAAAAUUUUACAUUUUCUCAAACAGGGUAUGGAACUUGGUUCCUCGAAUAACUUCUGGCACAGACAUGUGAGGGCAUGGCCGUCCAAGAAGAAAAUGUAGCCAUUGAUGCCAUCUAUCGACCACAAGCAAAGAUUGGCGAUCCGUUGGAUACCGACCGAGUUAUAGACAAAACUUGGUGCAAAAAUGAGGAAAAUUUUACAUUUUCUCAAACAGGGUAUGGAACUUGGUUCCUCGAAUAACUUCUGGCACAGACAUGUGAGGGCAUGGCCGUCCAAGAAGAAAAUGUAGCCAUUGAUGCCAUCUAUCGACCACAAGUUAAAGAUUAGCGAUCCGUUGGAUAGGGACCGAGUUAUAGAAAAAAAUUGGUGCAAAAAUGAGCCUUGGAGAUUGGUAAAUUUAUAGAUUUUUUUGAUUUUUUUAAUUUUUUUUACGAUUUUUUUAAUUUACAGCAUUAUUUGAGUGAAAAGAAACUUAUUGUAACAAUUUCGCAUGAAAAUAAAACAAUUUUUUAAAUUUUGCUAAUUUGCUCAAAAAAAUGGCAAGGGGUACCCCUUAUGAAAUUUUCGAGUUGAAAAUAUUUUUUUUAUUUUUUUGUUAUUUUUUAUUCUUUUCUUCUUUUAAAACAUUAUUUGAGUGAAAAGAAACUUAUUGCAACUAAUUCGCAUUAAAAUAUAUCAAUUUUUUACAUUUUGCUAAAUUACUCAAAAAAUGGUAUGGAACUUGGUUCCUCGAAUAACUUCUGGCACAGACAUCUGAGGGCAUGGCCGUCCAAGAAGAAAAUGUAGCCAUUGAUGCCAUCUAUCGACCACAAGCAAAGAUUGGCGAUCCGUUGGAUACCGACCGAGUUAUAGACAAAACUUGGUGCAAAAAUGAGGAAAAUUUUACAUUUUCUCAAACAGGGUAUGGAACUUGGUUCCUCGAAUAACUUCUGGCA